GUGGGGAAUCUUCCGCAAUGGACGAAAGUCUGACGGAGCAACGCCGCGUGAGGGAAGAAGGCCUUCGGGUUGUAAACCUCUGUCCUUGGUGACGAAAAAAAUGACGGUAGCCAAGGAGGAAGCCCCGGCUAACUACGUGCCAGCAGCCGCGGUAAGACGUAGGGGGCGAGCGCUGUCCGGAAUUACUGGGCGUAAAGAGCACGUAGGCGGGAACUUAAGUCAGGUGUGAAAGACCGGGGCUCAACUCCGGGGUUGCACUUGAAACUGGGUUUCUUGAGGGAAGGAGAGGAAAGCAGAAUUCCUGGUGUAGCGGUGAAAUGCGUAGAAAUCAGGAGGAAUACCAGUGGCGAAGGCGGCUUUCUGGACUGACCCUGACGCUGAGGUGCGAAAGCGUGGGUAGCAAACAGGAUUAGAUACCCCAGUAGUCC
rnacentral:rRNA from 1 species